AGCGUCACUAUAGUCCACACGCCGCCUUCAGUUUAUUCGCAGUCGAAGGGAGGAGAGCUAGAUAAUACGCACCAGUGUAUUGUAGUGGUGCUAGUAUAGCAGACUAUUUGGGUUUCAGACCUUGUAUAAUUCUCGAAUUCCUCCUGAGGGAUAGAGAAUAUUUGGACACUGGGAACACGUCGGCGCACCUAGCCUACGGCAGCAAUGAAUUCACGCGGUUUCCGGUUCUUCGUCGCUAUCUCUGAGCUGAAGAAGACUGUAACAGUAUGUAUAACGUUAGUAGCUAACUAGAGCAGUCGACUGUUUUCAUACCUGGGUUUGCAGAAAAGUAAAGCAUGACAACGUCCUCCGCGGGGUAAAACUACGACUGACUAUUAUGUUAUGAGAUGAAAUCCUGCGACCAGUGAGGUCUGACCGCCCGAGAACCUGCCCAUUUGACCCCAUCCCCUCCACCCUUCUCCAGACUAUCUCUGGAGACCUUCUCCCAUACCUCACUUCCUUCAUCAACUCAUUCCUGACCACUUGCUGCGUCCCCUCUGACUUCAAAAUGGCCCGCGUCGCUCCCCUCCUCAAGAAACCAGCACAUGACUCAUCUGACGUCAAAAACUAUAGACCGAUCUAUCUGCUGCCAUCGAUACCGUGAACCAUCAGAUCCUCCUCUCCACCCUCUCAGGGCUGGGAUCUCAGGCUCUGCACACUAUUAUAUUGCAUCCAACCUGGCAGACCGCUCCUACCAGGUGGCAACACGCAUCUCUGCGUGCCUGGCAGAUAUCUCAAAUUGGAUGUCGGCCCACCACCUCAAGCUCAAACAUGACAAGAUGGAGCUGCUCUUCCUUUCAGUAAGGCCUGCACGCUCAAAGACCUAUCCAUCACGGUUGACCACUCCACAGUGUCACCCUCCCAGAAUGCAAAUAACCUUGGCUUGACCCUGGACAACCGUCAUUCUCUGCAAACAUCACAGCAGCAACUCACUCCUGCAGGUUCAGGCUCUACAACAUCCAUGGAAUAUGACCCUGAAUAAUACAGGAAACGGUGCAUGUUGUAAUCCAGGGACUUGUCAUCUCCCAUAUGGACUAC